rnacentral:rRNA from 1 species
CGGAGGCAGCAGUGAGGAAUAUUGGACAAUGGGCGCAAGCCUGAUCCAGCCAUGCCGCGUGUGUGAAGAAGGCCUUCGGGUUGUAAAGCACUUUUGUUGGGGAAGAAAAGACACCGGUUAAUACCCGGGGUUUCUGACGGUACCCAAAGAAUAAGCACCGGCUAACUUCGUGCCAGCAGCCGCGGUAAUACGAAGGGUGCAAGCGUUACUCGGAAUUACUGGGCGUAAAGCGUGCGUAGGUGGUUCGUUAAGUCAGAUGUGAAAGCCCCGGGCUCAACCUGGGAAUUGCAUUUGAUACUGGCGGGCUAGAGUGCGGUAGAGGAGAGUGGAAUUCCCGGUGUAGCAGUGAAAUGCGUAGAGAUCGGGAGGAACAUCAGUUGCGAAGGCGGCUCUCUGGACCAGCACUGACACUGAGGCACGAAAGCGUGGGGAGCAAACAGGAUUAGAUACCCCGGUAGU